rnacentral:rRNA from 1 species
CCUAGGGGUGGCAGCAGUGGGGAAUAUUGGACAAUGGGCGAAAGCCUGAUCCAGCCAUGCCGCGUGUGUGAAGAAGGCCUUCGGGUUGUAAAGCACUUUCAGUGGGGAAGAAAGCCUUGGGGCUAAUACCCUCGAGGAAGGACAUCACCCACAGAAGAAGCACCGGCUAACUCCGUGCCAGCAGCCGCGGUAAUACGGAGGGUGCGAGCGUUAAUCGGAAUUACUGGGCGUAAAGCGCGCGUAGGCGGUCUGAUAAGCCGGUUGUGAAAGCCCCGGGCUCAACCUGGGAACGGCAUCCGGAACUGUCAGGCUAGAGUGCAGGAGAGGAAGGUAGAAUUCCCGGUGUAGCGGUGAAAUGCGUAGAGAUCGGGAGGAAUACCAGUGGCGAAGGCGGCCUUCUGGACUGACACUGACGCUGAGGUGCGAAAGCGUGGGUAGCAAACAGGAUUAGAUACCCUGGUAGUC